GAUGAACGCUAGCUACAGGCUUAACACAUGCAAGUCGAGGGGCAGCAUGAACUUAGCUUGCUAAGUUUGAUGGCGACCGGCGCACGGGUGAGUAACACGUAUCCAACCUGCCGAUGACUCGGGGAUAGCCUUUCGAAAGAAAGAUUAAUACCCGAUGGCAUAGUUCUUCCGCAUGGUAGAACUAUUAAAGAAUUUCGGUCAUCGAUGGGGAUGCGUUCCAUUAGGUUGUUGGCGGGGUAAACGGCCCACCAAGCCUUCGAUGGAUAGGGGUUCUGAGNGAAGGUCCCCCACAUUGGAACUGAGACACGGUCCAAACUCCUACGGGAGGCAGCAGUGAGGAAUAUUGGUCAAUGGGCGAGAGCCUGAACCAGCCAAGUAGCGUGAAGGAUGAAGGUCCUACGGAUU
rnacentral:rRNA from 1 species